GGCUUGCGUGGCGGCAGGCCUAAACAUGCAGUCGAACGGUAACAGGAAGAAGCUUGCUUCUUUGCUGACGAGUGGCGGACGGGUGAGUAAUGUCUGGGAAACUGCCUGAUGGAGGGGGAUAACUACUGGAGACGGUAGCUAAUACCGCAUAACGUCGCAAGACCAAAGAGGGGGACCUUCGGGCCUCUUGCCAUCGGAUGUGCCCAGAUGGGAUUAGCUAGUAGGUGGGGUAACGGCUCACCUAGGCGACGAUCCCUAGCUGGUCUGAGAGGAUGACCAGCCACACUGGAACUGAGACACGGUCCAGACUCCUACGGGAGGCAGCAGUGGGGAAUAUUGCACAAUGGGCGCAAGCCUGAUGCAGCCAUGCCGCGUGUAUGAAGAAGGCCUUCGGGUUGUAAAGUACUUUCAGCGGGGAGGAAGGGAGUAAAGUUAAUACCUUUGCUCAUUGACGUUACCCGCAGAAGAAGCACCGGCUAACUCCGUGCCAGCAGCCGCGGUAAUGCGGAGGGUGCAAGCGUUAAUCGGAAUUACUGGGCGUAAAGCGCACGCAGGCGGUUUGUUAAGUCAGAUGUGAAAUCCCCGGGCUCAACCUGGGAACUGCAUCUGAUACUGGCAAGCUUGAGUCUCGUAGAGGGGGGUAGAAUUCCAGGUGUAGCGGUGAAAUGCGUAGAGAUCUGGAGGAAUACCGGUGGCGAAGGCGGCCCCCUGGACGAAGACUGACGCUCAGGUGCGAAAGCGUGGGGGAGCAAACAGGAUUAGAUACCCUGGUAGUCCACGCCGUAAACGAUGUCGACUUGGAGGUUGUGCCCUUGAGGCGUGCUUCCGGAGCUAACGCGUUAAGUCGACCGCCUGGGGGAGUACGGCCCGCAAGGUUAAAACUCAAA
rnacentral:rRNA from 1 species